UAACUUAACCCCUCCAGUCCUGCUACUUUCCCUUUCACUUUCACUCACAGUCACACUUAACAGUUAACACCCAACCCGUAGCCCUAAAUCCCACCCUAACAUUCUCAAUCACAGUCGACAGUCGGAUCGGGAAAAUGAAAAACCCACUAUUUCUCUUCCGCCAGAGUCACCGAGUCGGAGUGUCGGACCACCACACCAAUACCCAGACCCAGGGCCAAGUUUGUUUUCUUCUAAUUUCCCUUUCAUUUUUUUUCAAUUUCUUGAAUGGGUCUUUAUUGAAUCUGUAAUAUUCAUCAAAGGAAGGGUUUUGAGUAGCAAAAGGCUGCCAAGCAGGGUUAUUAGAGUUGGGGUUAUUGGGGUCAGAUGAAGACUCGAUUUUUGGUAGUUUCCAACUUGAUAUGUUGGAGGAUCAUCAACAAUAUGAUUCCAAAUGAAAGCAGAAACGAAUCUGGAGGCAUUAGUUUUGAUGAAGCUGGCAUUUGAUACUCGACAAUUGAAAAUGAGCAGGCAUCGUCAUCACCAAAUUUGCCUUCUUUUCUUUGAUUGAUUUGGUCUGUAAAUAGUAGUAUAAAUUAACUGCAGCUUUGGCAUUGACAAUUGUUACUCCUAUACUACUAAUUGCUUUCUUGUUUUGAUCUGUAAAUAGUAUUUGAACGAGGGAAGGACAUAAUUGAUUCAACCAAAUGCCAUCAUAUAUACUGUAGUUUAGAUUUUAUAGCAUUUUGAAGUUGAAAAAUCAAUAUGCAAUUAAGUUGUUUAGUAGUAGUGCACUUAUAUUGUCUUCAAUGUCGUAACUUAGCAU
rnacentral:lncRNA from 1 species